UAAUACGUAGGGUGCGAGCGUUAAUCGGAAUUACUGGGCGUAAAGCGUGCGCAGGCGGUUUCGUAAGACAGACGUGAAAUCCCCGGGCUCAACCUGGGAACUGCGUUUGUGACUGCGAGGCUAGAGUACGGCAGAGGGGGGUAGAAUUCCACGUGUAGCAGUGAAAUGCGUAGAGAUGUGGAGGAAUACCGAUGGCGAAGGCAGCCCCCUGGGUUAGUACUGACGCUCAUGCACGAAAGCGUGGGGAGCAAACAGGAUUAGAUACCCUGGUAGUCCACGCCCUAAACGAUGUCAACUAGGUGUUGGAAGGGUUAAACCUUUUAGUACCGCAGCUAACGCGUGAAGUUGACCGCCUGGGGAGUACGGCCGCAAGGUUAAAACUCAAAGGAAUUGACGG
rnacentral:rRNA from 1 species